rnacentral:lncRNA from 1 species
CUCAGGGCCACAUGUGAUCACCUUCCCGUUCAUUUCCUGGGGCUGCCGCUGCCCUUUCUCAGGAAGACCUUACAUCCUCGGCUGGGCCAGUUACUGGGGUCACGGUGACCCUGGCUGUUGCAGCCCCUGCCAGGUGUGUUCCAUUUUAGCCCUAGACAAAAGCCUGAACUCCGGCACUUUCCAGAGUGAGGGGCGCAAAUGUCCUCUGUGAUGGGGUGGGGAGACCUACCCCACGGGUGACUGGACCUAACACAGGCUUUCCAAGACUCGUUGUCCCCUAGGGUCACGACAGAGAUGACAUUUGAAAGAACGCACCAGCAAUUUGGCCAGGUACUGACCGCUCAGACUGGACGCCAUGCUGGAUGAAUAGCCAAACUUUUCUGUUUUUUUUUCUCCCAGAGGCCCAUCAAUAAUCAUCCAUAGAAGCACGAGGAGGGAGCAGGUGUGAGCCCCAGAGAAGUGUGGCUCUGGGCAGCUGGCCUGUCCCCAGUCUCUGCUUCUCUUACUGCUUUGUCUGGUGCCUGUGGGGAAGAGGAACUCAGUGUCAUAUUUUGGUAACGUCAUCUUGGGAAUUAUACAAACCCUGGAAGAUUUGCCAUCAGCGUAAGUUGAAAGCAUAUUUUCCACAUUGCAAAAGUUCAGGACUUUACCCGUCCACCCACCUAUCCAUCUACUCAAAAACCCCUCCAUUCACCGAGCCAACAUUUAUUGAGGGCUCCGUGUUCCAGGCACUCUGCCAGGCAUCGGAGAUAAAGAAAGUAAUAAGUGAUGGUUCCUUUUUUCAAGGAUCCCACAGGUACACAGGCAAUUAUGACAUGUGGUUGUGUGUGCUGCAAGAGGGGAAGAGUCAGGUGUCCGUGGGGCCACAGGAGGGGCCACCCCAGCUGGGACAAUGAGGUUUUUGGAAAGCUUCCAACUCAGGCGGUUUUUCAGCUGAGACCUGAAGGAUGAGCUGGAGCUGGUGGUGGUGUGAGGAGGGGAGAGAUACCUGGCAGAGGGAGAGACAUGUGCAAGGGCCUGAGGCCAGAGCCCGGAGUGUUGGCUGUGUGCAGGCAGUUGGGUCUGGCUGCCGUGUAGAAGGUGGGCACGACCUGUGGGUCUGAUCUGUCUAAGAUGCUUAUGGCACCUUCCUUUUGCAGAGUCUCAAGUGGUUUUGGUUUGCCCGGGGAGGUAGGGAGGAGGAAAUCAUUUCUUAUCGUGUGAUCCUGGCGGCCGGGAGAGGGUGAGUGGCUUGACCCCACGGCCGUUCUCUAGGACGUCUCUGUCUUCCAGCCCAACCUUGGCUCCAGGCCUGGCUCACCCCUAAACUAUCCAAUGGUUGGAGAGCUCCCCUCUCCUUGCCUGUCCUGCCAGAGGAAGCAGCAGGGUCCUCGUGCCUGUUCCCUGGGCAGCCGGUAACUUGGCCUGGCUCUCCCCUGCGUGGCUCCAGUCCCGGCCUUUUGGCAGGGCUGCUCACUCAUUACAGCCAUCACAACCAGCCCUUCUCCCUGUUCAUCAUCCCUCCAGCUGAGCCCGUGAUAUUUUCCUUUGAGUCUCCAGGGCGUGCUCCAGUCUUGAAGGCCUGGGAGAGGCCUGACCCAGUCAGGAGGUCCAGGAGGGCUAGAAGCGGGGUGCAGGGGGCCUGGCAGGCGGUGGGCAGCUAGAGCUGUUCAGCCCCUUCCCUCCUUUCUCUGCCCCUUUCCCCAGGGUGGGGCAACUCCCCUUUGGAAACUGGGCAUUGGAAGGCCUAGGGUCCUCUGGGUUGGUUUUUCUGCAACAUGAACUAAUUAAAGGGCAGAACAUGCAAGUACCUUACGAGACCCACAAACCACCCAACUCACGCAAUACACAAACCA